rnacentral:rRNA from 1 species
GUUUGAUCAUGGCUCAGAUUGAACGCUGGCGGUAACUUUUAAACAUGCAAGUCGAGCGGUAACAGACAUAAGGAUUCAGCUUGCUGAAUCUGGUGCUGACGAGCGGCGAACGGGUGAGUAACGCGUAGGAAUCUACCCAGUAGCGGGGGAUAGCCCGGGGAAACCCGGAUUAAUACCGCAUACGCCCUAAGGGGGAAAGGGGGCAGCUUGCUGCUCUCACUAUUGGAUGAGCCUGCGUAAGAUUAGCUUGUUGGUGGGGUAAAGGCCUACCAAGGCGACGAUCUGUAGCUGGUCUGAGAGGAUGAUCAGCCACACUGGAACUGAGACACGGUCCAGACUCCUACGGGAGGCAGCAGUGAGGAAUAUUGGACAAUGGAGGCAACUCUGAACCAGCCAUGCCGCGUGCAGGAAGAAUGCCCUACGGGUUGUAAACUGCUUUUAUAUAGGAAGAACUACAGCUACGUGUAGCUGUUUGACGGUACUAUAAGAAUAAGGACCGGCUAACUCCGUGCCAGCAGCCGCGGUAAUACGGAGGGUCCAAGCGUUAUCCGGAUUCAUUGGGUUUAAAGGGUCCGUAGGCGGGUUUUUAAGUCAGUGGUGAAAUCCUACAGCUCAACUGUAGAACUGCCAUUGAUACUGGAAACCUUGAGUGUGAUUGAAGUGGGCGGAAUGUGUCAUGUAGCGGUGAAAUGCAUAGAUAUGACACAGAACACCGAUUGCGAAGGCAGCUCACUAAGUCACAACUGACGCUGAGGGACGAAAGCGUGGGUAGCGAACAGGAUUAGAUACCCUGGUAGUCCACGCUGUAAACGAUCAUCACUCGCUGUUGGCGAUACACAGUCAGCGGCCAAGCGAAAGCGUUAAGUGAUGCACCUGGGGAGUACGGUCGCAAGAUUGAAACUCAAAGGAAUUGACGGGGGCCCGCACAAGCGGUGGAGCAUGUGGUUUAAUUCGAUGAUACGCGAGGAACCUUACCUAGGCUAGAAUGCGAGUGACAUCCAGAGAGAUCUGGAGUUCUUCGGAAGUCCACACAGGUGCUGCAUGGCUGUCGUCAGCUCGUGUCGUGAGAUGUUGGGUUAAGUCCCGCAACGAGCGCAACCCUCACUUUUAGUUGCCAUCAUUAAGUUGGGCACUCUGAAAGAACUGCCAGUGAUAAGCUGGAGGAAGGUGGGGAUGACGUCAAGUCCUCAUGGCCCUUACGUGUUGGGCUACACACGUGCUACAAUGGUAUCUACAACAGGAAGCAAGACUGCGAAGUUAAGCAAAUCCUUAAAAGAUACCUCAGUUCGGAUUGCACUCUGCAACUCGAGUGCAUGAAGCUGGAAUUACUAGUAAUCGUGGAUCAGCGUGCCACGGUGAAUGCGUUCCCGGGUCUUGUACACACCGCCCGUCACACCAUGGGAGUUGGUUCUACCUUAAGGCAAGGUUUCAAACCCUUGACCACGGUAUAGUCAGCGACUGGGGUGAAGUCAUAACAAGGUA